CGGGGAGUAGCGCAGUUGGCUAGCGCGCACGGUUCGGGUCCGUGAGGUCCCGGGUUCAAGUCCCGGCUUCCCGA
rnacentral:tRNA from 1 species